GUUUUUUACACUAUGACGCAACUCAUCCAUGGACGCUCGUCUGCUGCUGAAUUCAUGUUUUACAGUUAAAAAGAAUGGAAAGAUAUAUACUAGUCUGAUAGAUAAUACGAGGACCUCUGGUUUUUCAAAACUGUUGGAUCAACAAGUUAUUAUAAACAGAUAAAUUGAAAUGUGUUGCUUGUCGAUUAACUUGAAGAAACCGGGUUUUAAACACACAAACAAGAAAGUUGUGUUUCUUUUUGAUGGAUUACAUACCCGCUAUUUUGUACUUGGAAAGC
rnacentral:lncRNA from 1 species